UACGUAGGGGGCAAGCGUUGUCCGGAAUCAUUGGGCGUAAAGAGCUCGUAGGCGGCUCAGUAAGUCGGGUGUGAAACCCUCAGGCUCAACCUGGGGACGCCACCCGAUACUGCUGUGGCUAGAGUCCAGUAGGGGAGUGUGGAAUUCCCGGUGUAGCGGUGAAAUGCGCAGAUAUCGGGAGGAACACCAGCGGCGAAAGCGGCGCGCUGGAUCUCUUCUGACGCUGAGGCGCGAAAGCCAGGGGAGCGAACGGG
rnacentral:rRNA from 1 species